rnacentral:rRNA from 1 species
GACGAGGGAUCCUAGCGUUGUUCGGAAUCAUUGGGCGUAAAGGGUGCGUAGGUGGCUUUGAAAGUCAGUUGUGAAAUCCCCGGGCUUAACCCGGGAAGUGCUUCUGAUACUACUUAGCUUGAAUAUUGGAGAGGUGAGUGGAAUUCCAGGUGUAGUGGUGAAAUACGUAGAUAUCUGGAGGAACACCGGCGGCGAAGGCGGCUCACUGGCCAUAUAUUGACACUGAAGCACGAAAGCGUGGGGAGCAAACAGG